rnacentral:rRNA from 1 species
GACGAACGCUGGCGGCGUGCUUAACACAUGCAAGUCGAGCGGAAAGGCCCUUCGGGGUACUCGAGCGGCGAACGGGUGAGUAACACGUGAGUAACCUGCCCUUGGCUCUGGGAUAGCUCCGGGAAACCGGAAUUAAUACCGGAUAUGACCCUCGGCCGACAUCGGCUGUGGUGGAAAGAUUUAUCGGCCAGGGAUGGGCUCGCGGCCUAUCAGCUAGUUGGUGGGGUAACGCCUACCAAGGCGACGACGGGUAGCCGGCCUGAGAGGGCGACCGGCCACACUGGGACUGAGACACGGCCCAGACUCCUACGGGAGGCAGCAGUGGGAAUAUUGCACAUGGGCGAAAGCCUGAUGCAGCGACGCCG